GUCCGGUUGAGAUCGUGUUUUUUCGAGUGAUUUGAUCGGGUUUUUUCGAGAGCGUCCAGUUUUUUUCGAGAGAUUAUGACUAAAAAUGUAAACAAACAGACAUGUUUUCCUUUAACACGUAAAAUAAAUGCUUAAACUAAAUUUACAAGAUCAAACAAGUUAAGUAAGUAUUUGUGAUGAAAGGAUGUUGCCAACCAUACAUACUUUGCAGUUAAAAAAGUUUGAUUUGGCCUAAUAAUGCUUUUAUGCCAAAAUAUAGAAAAAAGCAAUUUCUAUACACAUACCAAUGCAAAUUUCAAAGAGCAUGCACAC
rnacentral:lncRNA from 1 species